ensembl:snRNA U6 U6 spliceosomal RNA
GUGCUUGCCUCAGCAGCACAUAUACUAAAAUUGAAAUGACACAGAGAAGAUUAACAUGGCCUCUGAGAAAGGUAUGACAUGCAAAUUCAUGAAUCAUUCCAUGUUUUC